rnacentral:lncRNA from 1 species
ACAAUCGAACCCUUACACGUUGGUUUUAUCCUCGGCUCACCAACCAACCUCUACACUCUUGAUUCAAUCCCCUGAUUGAAUCAAGCAAAGACAAGAUGGAAAGAACAAGGACAAACAGAAAAACAGAGCUUCUAAAAAGCAGAUAUACAGCAAUAUAAACUAGAGAGAAGUUAAGAGCCCUCAGACACUUUUGAGUUGGAGUAGAGAAGGGCUUCUUGAACUGUGAGUCUCCUCUUGAAUGUCUGGUCGACUUGAAGGCAGGAGGAGACUUCUUUAAAUGCUGGGAAGAGGUA